rnacentral:rRNA from 1 species
AACGAACGCUGGCGGCAGGCCUAACACAUGCAAGUCGAGCGCCCCGCAAGGGGAGCGGCGGACGGGUGAGUAACGCGUGGGAACGUGCCUCUUGCUACGGAAUAGCCUCGGGAAACUGGGAGUAAUACCGUAUGUGCCCUACGGGGGAAAGAUUUAUCGGCAAGAGAUCGGCCCGCGUUGGAUUAGGUAGUUGGUGGGGUAAUGGCCUACCAAGCCGACGAUCCAUAGCUGGUUUGAGAGGAUGAUCAGCCACACUGGGACUGAGACACGGCCCAGACUCCUACGGGAGGCAGCAGUGGGGAAUUUUGGACAAUGGGCGAAAGCCUGAUCCAGCCAUUCCGCGUGCAGGAUGAAGGCCCUCGGGUUGUAAACUGCUUUUGUACAGAACGAAAAGCUCUGGCUAAUACCUGGAGUCCAUGACGGUACUGUAAGAAUAAGCACCGGCUAACUACGUG